rnacentral:rRNA from 1 species
UACGUAGGUGGCGAGCGUUGUCCGGAUUUACUGGGCGUAAAGAGCGCGCAGGCGGUCGUAUAAGUCGCGUGUGAAAGCCCCCGGCUCAACUGGGGAGGGUCACGCGAUACUGUUCGACUUGAAGGCAGGAGAGGGAAGCGGAAUUCCCGGUGUAGUGGUGAAAUGCGUAGAUAUCUGGAGGAAUACCGGUGGCGAAGGCGGCAUCCUGGACCGACAUUGACGCUGAACGGCGAAAGCUAGGGGAGCAAACGGG